CAGUGCUGGAUCCUUAAUCCCUGAGCAAGGCCAGGGAUUGAGCCCGCAUCCUCACAGAGACUAUGUCGAAUUCUCAACCUGCUGAGCCACAAUGGAAACUGUGAGAAAUAUACAUAUAUGUAUGUAUGUGUGUGUGUGUGUGUGUGUGUGUGUGUGUGUAUGAUACAUAGAUACUUUUUAUCUUUUAACACUUUAAAUAUAUAAUUCAGUGACCCAGAUGAGGUUAUUACCAGGCAAUUAUUUCCAUGUAAUGAGAGGAGAGAAAUGAUAUAGCCCUUCUCCUCCAACAGCAUACUAUUAGUCUAAUCAAGCAUAUGAACACUAACGAACAUUUUUGCUACUGUAUCACCACUAAUCUCUAGCUUAGAAAUAAAAACUCUUCAUGUAUAUCUUUCCAUGUAUUGAGAAUAGUAAAGCCAAGCUUGCUAUUUCUUCAUAAUGUACAAAAGGAACAAAAUUAAAUAAAAAAGAUUAAUAAUAGAAUUUCAGAAGAAUAUGUGUUAACUCUUCUUUAAAUGUUUGAUAAAAUUCACCUGUGAGAUCAUCUGGUCCUGGACUUUUGUUUUUGUUGGAAGUUUUCAUUUUUUGUUUUUUUAAUUAAAGUAUAGUUGAUUUAAAGUGCUGUGUCAAUUUCUGCUGUAUAACAAAGUGACCCAGUCAUAUACAUAUAUAUACACACAUUUCCUUUCUCACAUUAUUUUCCAUCAUGGUCUAUCCCAACAGACUGGAUAUAGUUUCCUGUGCUAUAUAGUAGGACCUCAUUGCGUAUCCAUUCUAAAUGUAAUAGUUUGCAUCUACUAACCCCAACUGUUGGAAGUUUUUAGUCGGUUUCAAUUUCAGUACUUGUGAUUAUUCUUUCAUAUUUUAUGUUUCUUCCCGGUUCAGUCUUGGAAGGAUAUCCCUUCUAAGAAUUUGUCCAUUUCUUCUAGGUUGUCCAUUUAUUGGGAUAUAGUUGUCAUAGUAGUCUCUUAUGAUCCUUUGUAUUUCUGUGGUGUCAGUUGAAACUUCUUUUUCAUUUCUCAUUUUAUUGAUCUGAGCUCUCUCCCUUUUUUCUUGAUGAGUCUGGAUAAAGGUUUAUCAAUGUUGUUGAUCCUUUCAAAGAACCAGCUUUUAGUUUCAUUGAUCUUUACACAGACAUUCAUCUUUAGAUAGACAUUUCUUCAAAGAAGGUAUACAGAUGGCCAAAAAAGCACAUGAAAAGAUGCUCAACAUUGCUAAUUUUUAGAGAAAUACAAAUCAAAACUGCAGUGAGAUAUCACUUCACACCAGUUAGAACAGACAUCAUCAAAAAGCCUACAAACUAUAAAUGCUGGAGAAGGUGUGGAGAAAAGGGAACUCUCCUACACUGUUGGUGGGAAUGUAAAUUGCUACAACCACUACGAAGAACAGUACGGAGGUUCCUUAAAAAACUAUAUAUAGAACCUAAUAACCCAGAAAUCCCACCUGGGCUUGUAACUGGAGAAAACCAAACUUUGAAAAGAUACAAGCACCUCAAUGUUAAUUGCAGCACUAUUUACAAUAGGCAAGACAUGGAAGCAACCUAAAUGCCCAUCAACAGAGGAAUGGAUGAAGACUGGAUAUAUACAAUGCAAUAUUAAUCAGCCAUAAAAAGAAUGAAAUAAUGCCAUAUGCAGCAUGGAUGGUUCUAGAGAUUAACAUACUAGGUGAAGUAAAUCAGAUAAAGAUAAACAUAUGAUAAAACUUAUUUAUGGAAUCUAAUUUUUAAAAAUGAUACCAAUAAACAUAUUUACAAAACAGAAACAGACUCACAGACUUUGAAAACAAAUUUAUGGUUACAAAGGGUGAAGGUGUGGAGAGGAUAAAUUGGAAGUUUGGGAUUAACAUAUAGACACUAUUAUACAUAAAAUAGAUAAUAAACAAGGAACUACUGUACAAUACAGGCAACUCUACUCAAUAUUCUUUAAUAACCUAUAUGAGAUAACAUCUGAAUAAGAAUGAAUGCAGGUAUAUACAACUGAAUCACUUUGCUAUAUAACAAACUAACACGACAUUGUAAAGCAACUAUACCCCAAUACAUUUAAAAUGAAUAAAUAAAUAAAUAAUUACAUAAAUAACAGGGAUAUGUCUAAAAGAGUAUAAAUACCAUAUACAUUAAGUAUUUUGGUAACACUGACUAGACUUUGGCUUUUACUUUUGAGUACUGCAAAAGAUAAGAAUUUGACAUAUAAUGUAGAAAGCAUUUAUCAUCAACAAAAGGAUCUGGGGACAUUUCAAGGAAUGUGCUGGAAAAAAAUUAUUUCUUAUAUUUUGUUAGUAUAUCAGACACAUAUAAGAAAAUACUAAAGAGAUGUAAGAAAACAAUCCCAUUUACAAUUGCAAAAAGAACACAAUACUUUGAAGUAAAUUUAACCAAGGAGGUGAAAGACCUGUACACUGAAAACUACAAGAUGUUGAUUAAAUAAAUUGAAGAAUACACAAAUAAAUGGAAAUGUUCUCUGCUCAUGAAUUGGAAGAAUUAAUAUUGUUUAAAUGUCUGUAUUACCAAAAACAAUCUAUAGAUUCAAUUUGGUCCCUGUCAAAAUUGGAGUGGCAUUUUUCAUGUAAAUAGAACACUGCUAAAAUUUGUAUGGAAUCACAAAAGAUCCCAAAUAAUCAAAGCAAUCUUGAGAAAGGAGAAAGCUGGAGGCAUCACGCUCCCUAAUUUAAAACUAUAAUACAAAGAUACAGUAAUCAAAACUGUGGUAUUGGCAUAAAAACAGACACAGAUCAAUGGAACAGGACAGAGAGCCUGGGAAUAAACCCACCCUUAUAUGGUCAAUUAAUUUACAGCAAAGGAGGCAAGGGUAUACAAUGAGGGAAGGACAAUCUCAUAACUAAAUGGUCUUGGGAAAAGAGCCACAUAAAAAAGAAGAAAAUUAGACUACUAUCUUACAUCAUGCACAAAAAUUAACUCAAAAUGGAUUAAACACUUGAUGUAAAAGCUGAAGUCAUACAAUUCCUAGAAGAAAACAUAGGCAAUAAGCUCCCUGACUUUGAUCUUGGCAAUAAUUUUUCUUGUAUCUGACUCCAAAGGCAAGGGCAACAAAAGUGAAAAUUAGCAAGUGGGACUAUAUCAAACAGAAUCUUCCGAAGAGCAUAGGAAACCAUAAGCAAAAUUAAAACGGAUCUUGAAUGAUAGAAAAUACUUGCAAACUAUAUAUCUAAUAGGGAUUAAUACCCCGAAUAUAGAAAGAACACAUACAACUCAAUAACAAAAAAAAUCUGAUUAAAAAAAUGGGCAUAAGAUCUGAGCAGACAUUUUUCCAGAGAAGACACUCAAAUAGUCCAAAUCUCUAAUCAUAAGGGAAAUCCAAAUCAAAACCACCUCACACCUGUUCGAAUGGUGGUUAUCAAAAGACAAGAAAUAACAAGUGUUGCCAAGGCCGUGGAGAAAAUAGAACCAUUGUGUACUGUUGGUGGGAAGAUAAAUUGGUACAGUCACUGUGGAAAACAGUAUGGAUAUUCCUGAAAAAUUUUAAAUACAAUGCCACAUGACCCAGCAAUUCCACUUCAGGAUGUAUAUCUAAUCAUUAUAUUAUAUACCUGAAACUAACAUAAUGUUAUAUGUUAUUUAUAUCACUUAAAAAAAGGAAAAUAUUUAUAUUCUCCUAAUGGAAAAAAAGAAAGUAGAGCAAAAGUAUAUGUGCAAUAAUAUUACAUAUGAUAAGAGUUCACACAGGCGAUUUUAACGCAUAUUUUGAGGGAGGUUUGGUGAAUCUCUACCUCCUCUGUGGCCAAAUUAAAUAGCAUUGUUUUAUUUAUGUCAUUUCUUCUUUUAUUUUUAAUGAAUUAUUUCAUAUACACAAAACCAAAAAUAUGUAUAAGACAUACACACACGAUAUAAAGAUUAAAAAGCACCCAAAUACUCACUAACAAGCAUAAAAAAUAGAACACUAGCAGCACCCUGGAAAGCUUAGGGUCCCAUUCCAAUCUCUCCUCAACCUUUAUCCCAGAAGUAGGCACUAUUCUGAAAUGUGCGCUUGUCAUUCCUUUGCUCUGUCAUUACAUAAGGCAGAGAAGUGCACAGUUCUUAAAUAUAAAGUUCAGUGUCUUUACAGUGAUGUGUAUCUCCAUGUAACCAGAACACAGAUUAAGAUAUGCAGCACUGACAGUUCCCCAGAAAGCUAUAUUGUACCCUCUCUUGGUCAUUACCAACCCAAAUGCAAACAACAUAUUUCCUUCAGUUAACAUAAAACAAUGUUGCCAGUUCUCAGGAUUAAUAUAAAAAGAAUCAUGAAGCAUAUAUUUUUUGCCUCUCGAUUCUAUCACUCAACAUUAUGGUUUUGAAAUAUAUUCACCUUGUUACAGGUAUCAUUGCACUCUCAUGGCUGCAUCAUUUUUCACAUUUUAGUUGUCUAGUCUAUGGCCCAUGAACAUGGAUUACGUCAUCUGAAGCUACAUGAAUAGGGUUGCUACAAACAUCUUUGUGCAUGUCUUAUUAGUAGGUGAAUGCAUUUAAGUUUUGUUUCACUUACACCUAUGAGUGGAAAUUCUGGGCUCAAGAGUUGGUAUUUGUUUAGCUUGGGUAGAUACUGCAGUUUUCCAAAGUAGAUAUAUCAAUUUAAACUCCCACCAGCAAUAUGUGUGAGCUCUGAUUGCUCCACACUUUCUUCAAAACUUGUUCUUGUCAUUUAAAAAAAAUCUUAGCCAUCUGGUGGAUUUGUAAUGGUAUAUGUCAUCGUGGCUCUAAUUUGAAUUUUCCUAAAGACUGCUGUGAUUUUGAGCACAUUUACAUAUGCUCAUUAUCCAUUUGGAUAUCCCUGUUUAUGAAAUGCCUGCUUCAGUCCUUUAUCCUUCCUUAAAAUUAGGUUGUCUGCAUUUUACUUAAUGAUUUGUAGAAGUUAUUUAUAUACUCUGGGUACAAUUCUUUUGUUAGAUGUGUAUAUGGCAAAUAUUGUCUUGAUUCUGUGAGUUAUCUUUUAACAUACUAUUCCUUCUUGAUUCUCAGAUCUUUAUUUCUGGAUUUAUUUUCUUUCUUAAGAGUACAUCCUUUAUAUAGUUCUAUACUGGAAAUUCAAGUGAUUAUAAAUCCUCUUUUUUUCCAAACCUGUAAAAGUCUUUUAUUUCUAUUUUUUAAAAAAAUUGUUUUGGUUCACAGCUCUUGAGAGUGUUUCCCCCAUACCCUGGCUUCCAGCUUCUGUUUUGGCCUUGGUAAAGUUUACUGCUUGCCCCAUUGAUGUACCAGCCUUAUUCCUGUAUCCACCUUCUCAAAUUUCAUUAUUAUAUGAUAUAUUGGGAAAUUACUUUUUUAUCCUUCUUGGGAUAUUCUGUAUUUUCCAAAUCUGAGAAAGAUUUAUUUACUAAUUCUAGAAAGUUCUCAGAUAUCAUUAUCUUUGCAUUAUUGUCUCACUUCAGCCUUGCACCAGUCUCCCAAUUUCUCCUGCUCCAACGCCAAUUAAAUAAACCUUGUGCCUUCAUACACUCAUCUCAAUGUCUUUUUACCAUCUUUUUUUUUAUAAUUUUCUAUUUUUUUUAAACUGCAUUCUGGAUGAUGGCUUAAGAUCUACUAUCCCCAAAAACUUUCUUUUCUGUUGUGCCAUAUUUUUUUUAUUAUUAUUACUUUUUUUUCCCCCUUUUAUGGCCACUCUGCAGCAUAUGGAGUUCCCAGGCCAGGGAUCAGAUCUAAGCUGCAGUUUGACCUAUGCCUGCAGCUGCAGCAAACCUGGAUCCUUUAACCCACUGUGCCAGGCUGGAGAUCAAGCCUGUGUCCUGGCACUGCAGAGAUGUUGCCAACGCCAUCGCACCACAAUGGGAACUCCCGUCACUUUUUUUCCUAAUAUCUUUAUGGUUUUCAGUAUUUUUACAAAGACAAGACCAGUAGAAUAAGUUUCAGUUUCAGAUUGUCAGUCAAUAUACAAGACACAACAGGCUUAUCCAGCAACAAGUUUGCUUACUUAGUAAAGGGUAAACAACAGAUAGCAAGCAUUAUGCAGAGCAAGAAAAUCCUGGAGCCUUCAGACACCCAGAUGCAGCAUCUCAUGUGCCCAAUCAUUGCACUGUUAUCAAAAAAUGACAAGAAAAUGUUAAGAGUGUGCAUCACAUCUGUGUAGGGAAGCUACAGGGAGUAAGGCCUCUCAGCCUAGUCACCUAAAGGCCAUUCUUUAGUAUGGUUUCAGUACAUUAAUGACAGAAUAUAUAAUAAAUAAUUGUGAUGGUCAUGGACAUUGUGCUUAUACUUACCUUUCAUAAGCAGUACAACCCCUUAGAGUAGUUCAAAUAAUAUUCUUCUGGGCCCAGUCCAUCUCAAAGUGGGUACACUGGUCCCACAGACCCCACCCGUGCUCAUUUCUCCAUUUCCCAAAUUAUAAUCAAAACAGACAUAUAUAUUGGCUCUUGGAACCAUAGCAAUGGUCCCUUGGUCUGGCUCUUCUAGUAGAAAAAGCUGAAUUGAAUCCCUUAAAACUACCUUCAUUUACUUCUGGCCAAUCUAGUGAUUAUAAACUAAUAUUGCAUCCUGGGGUAUUGGCAGAAAUCAAUACCACUCAUGAAGAGCUAAAAAAGAUAAAUCUUUUAUAUAAAAGAUAGAAUCAACUAUUAGGGAGAAAAAUAAAAUAAAGUGGAAAGGAGUCAAGAAGAAUCAGGUGGGGUUGAGGUUCCAGUUUAAGGUUGUAGGGUCAGGGCAGGCAUUUGUAUGAAAUCAGAGGGAAGUGAGGGGGUCACCUGUGUGGAUAUCUGAGAUAAGGGCAGUUCUUGAUGGAGAGAAAGCAAAGUCAAAGGCCUAGAGGCAAGACAGUUUUGUCUUGUUUGAUGAGCAGUGAGGAGGCCGGUAUGACUUGGACACAAUGAGUGAGAGGACAAGAGGUCAGAGAAGUAACAGGAACAGAUUGUGUAGGGCUUUGUAGAUCAUUUUAGGAAUUUUGGAUUUUAUUCUGAGUGAGGUGAGAAGCAACUGUGGUGUGGAAUACUGUUGUUUUAAUGAGAUCACUCUGACUGCUGUGUUAAGAACUGAUUGAUCAGUAGCAAGAGCAGGAACAGAGAGACUGGUUACAGGGUUACUGCAGAAACUCAAGAAGAGAUGAUUGAACUUGGGCCACAGUGGUACAAUAGAAGCAGUAAAAAGUGGCAAAACUUAGCAAAUAUUUUGAUGGUAAAAUCUAAAGGAUACUUUCAUUCUAUUGGAUUCAGUUUUCAGUAUUCCAGCCUUAGAGGAUAUAUUGGGAUCCUAAUUCUGGCUCUUCCUUCUCAUGAAUUUUACAUACUCCUUCCUUUUAGAAGUAAUUAUGUUACAUAAGCUUUUGGAUAAACAUCCAGAAGUCUCAUUAAUGUUGACUUUGAUCUUAAAACAAACACUUCUUACAUAAAAGUCUUGGUUAUGAGAGCUAAACACAUCUCAGAGACACUUUGCUUUCUCCUUUCUCAUCUCCUUCCUAAAAUUGUUUGACUCAGUUAGUAAGAGGGCAGCGUUAAUCACUGGAGUCUUGGCAUCUAUCUACGUUAUCCAGACAUACUGUGAAAUUUGGUCCUUGUGCUCAGCACUAUGGGUCCCUGGUUGAGGGGAGCAGGGUAUCCCUCCUGGCUUCUUAACACAGGGAGCCUCUUCCUUAAUAGUAAAGAACUGACUUCGACCCCAAUUAAGACUAUCUUAGUUGUUAACAACAGGAAGAUAGUUAUUCCAUAGUUAAACAUGACAAAGAACAUACACACAUGCCAAAGAAAAUUUAUUUUCAACCUUCCCAAAUCUUCCAUAGAUGAAUAGGAUGUUUAUGACACCUUUCAAAUUCAAGAGAACUGGAAAGCACGGUAUAGAAAAGAA
rnacentral:lncRNA from 1 species